UUCUUUUAGAGUUGAACUUCUAGAUUGCCUUCCGCUCACCACCUCAAUGAGCAAUACAGUGGUGAAUGGUAUGUGCCCUUUAACGGGCAUGUGUGAGAAUUUCUCUGGGAGACACAUGGGUUUUCAGGGUCAUAGGACAUAAAUACUGGCAGGUUGCUUUUCUGAAUGGUUCAUCAACUUACACUCAGUGUAUGAGGGGUCUCAUUCACCAAUCAGUAGUAUCCUCCCUUCCAACUUUUUCUCGUCCUGAUGGGUACAGAAUAAAAUUUCAUGUUUGCUUUAAUUCAUAUAUAUGUUAUUAACAACCAGUGUGUGAGCAUCUCUUAAGUAAGAUCUUAGCCAUUCAACUUUCCCUUCUGUGAAUUGCCUUUGUUUCAAAGACAAAAAAAGCAGAUCAUUCAAUUUUCCCAUAAGCUAUAUGGGAAAUCCUGUAGGAACUGUGAAAAAAAUGUAUCUCACCUCUUUCUGUUGUCCAACUUACACUUCUCUUUAAAUAAUGUUACAGGCUGUCGAUAAGCUGAUAGAUUUGUUCAUUCCUUUUAGAAAUAUGUUCAGGCAAUAUAUAAUAUGUUCAGGAUGUAGAGGGGGGUAUAAGUCACAUGAUACCUGCCCUCAUGGUUUUCCUGAAUUGAUGGAAGAGAUGGGCCAGUGUUUUGUUGUCUUACUUUCUGGAGGAGUAAACGUCAAGGCGUGAGCUAUUCAUACUUCGAUAAAUGAUGAACUUCCUCUGCCACAUUUCCUUUUCUCAGUUGAAUUUGCAGUGUCCCUGGUAACUUUGAAGUAUGAAUUGCUGGUAACAACUAACAAAAGGACACAUUUACUGCUUCCAAUGUUUAUUAACUCAAAAACUCACUGAGGCAUCCUUUCUUAAAAAAAAAGGAAGAACAACUUAAGUACCAAAAUACUUUGCCAGUAUAUGCCCUCCUUAGAAAGAAAGAAGAGAGAGAGAGCUGUAAUCUAAUCCUCCCUCCACUCAUUCUGUAGUUGAGGGAAUGAAGUUCAGAGGGAUAUAAAUAAUCCUCAGUUUAGAGCCUUCUGGAAAUCUUCCCAAUACACCACCGUGGUUCUAUUUUUUUAAUGUUGUUUUCAUUUGAAACUAGAUUCAUGCAGCUUGCUCAUGUGAAAUGAGAAUGAAAAAAAAAAAAAGUUAGGGUCUGGAAAGGAAGAGAAGGAUUAAAUAAGGAGUUCUGCUAGGAUGUAGCCAUCAUAAUCUAAUACACCACAGGCAGCCCUGCUCCAGGGAAUCCUGACUUUCAAGGACUGGAGCUCUUGAGGACAGCUGGCACUCAGCUGGUCAUAUUGCCGGCCUCACAUAGCCUCACUGUCUCCCAUAAACUCAACUGAUGCUAUUUAGACUUUUUAAAAAAAAUUGCGGCACAGGAAAUUUUUCCUCAAUGCAUGUGAGAGCUGUUUGAUUCCCCAAAGAAAAAGACUUGGCAAGUCAGUUGUGAGGAAAGGAGAAAGACUGAACACAUGAGCACAUUUUAACAAUGUCCAAGUGUAAGUUUUAUUGCCAACGGUAGACAUGCACUGGAAUUUGAAUCCCAGCCCAAAUGCUAAAUGCGGUUGUUUUUAUCUAUGUGGAGAACAUUGCGGUUUUCUUCUGAGGUGAGUCACUUCGUUGUGAUUUAUGCAGUUAGUAAAUGUAUCUGAUUUGUUUUUGUUAGUGAGUUCAAAGUUUGUUUUUGCUUUUUAUUUGUUUUUGUUUCAUUUUGUUUUUUUUCCCAGUGAAGAAACUAUCAGGUCUGGUAAGAAUAAGAGGAAACAAAAUGUUAUUGGCAUGCUCAAUAAUGAUAAAGCCAAGAUGUCACCUGCCAGUACAAUGAAGAGGGACUGGGGUCUUGGCACUAAAAGGUGCAACUGAAGGAACAGAGAAACUGUGUAAUUGUAAAACCUCCUUGUGGCCCCACAUGGCUCAUACUCAAAUGAUUCCAGUGUCUAUGGCCUGAGAAGUGCUUCAUGAAAUGAGGAACAGUGCCUCAAGUCAGAGAUUGGCAUGGUGAGUCGCCGGGAGGUGGAAAAGAGGCACAGCUUCAUUGAAGCUACAGUUGGCUGCAAGGAACCAUUUCAAAUCAUCUUAGUUCUACGGGGCCAUUCAGGUGGCAAAGGCCCAGGUAACAUUUGAUCAAGUUGCUACAGGGCUUGGACCUACUUUUAUUGCCCCUUACUUUUCCCACUAACAUUUUUGCUUGAAAUAUCGAUGUUUUUUUGGUGCAGCAAAACUCUUUUCCCACAGCUAAAUUGAAGUAGGGCAUAUGUGCUUCCCUCACCUCGCUCCCAGUCCCUCUUGACCCCGAAAUGGUCUAGCAGCCUGUGCUUUGUUAAACUGAAAAUGUGUAGAAAUUUUUAUAGAGAUAUUCAGCUAUAUAAAUAGCUUUGAAAUUUGUCAUAACUUUAAAAACAGGUCAAAAAGGAAAUUGAACAGCUAGUGAGUUUCUGUCUUAGUCCGUUUUGUGCUGCUAUAACAGAAUACCAUAAACUAGGUAAUUUAUAAACAAUAGAAGUUUAUUUGUCUCAAUGGCCAACAAGCAUAUGGAAAAAUGUUCAACAUCACUAAUUAUCAGGGAAAUACAAAUCAAAACCACAGUGCGAUACCACGUAACUUCUGCAAUAAUGGUCAUAAUCAAAAAAUAAUAAUAAAUAAAUAGAUGUUGGCAUGGAUAUGGUGAAAAGGGAACACUUUUACUGGGUUGGUGGGAAUGUAAACUAGCACAACCACUAUAGAAAACAGUAUGGAGACUCCUUAAAGAACUAAAAGUAGACCUACCAUUUGACCUAGCAACCCCACUGCUAUGUAUCUGCUCAGAAGUAAAGAAGUCAUUAUACAAAAAAGACACUUGUUACAUGCAUGUAUAUAGCAGUACAAUUGCCCAAAUGCCCAUCAAUCAAUGAGUGGAUAAAAAAUGUUAUAUACAUACAUAUAUGUGUGUGUAUAUAUACAUAUACAUAUACACACACACACACAUACACACACACACACACACACACACACAUAUACCAUGGAAUACUGCUCAGCCAAAGAAAGGAAUGAAAUAAUGGGAUUUGCAGCAACCUGGAUGGAAUUGGAGGCUAUUAUUCUAAGUGAAGUAACUCAGGAAUAGAUAACCAAACAUACAUGUUCUCACUCAUAUGUGGGAACUAAGCUAUGAGAAUGCAAAGGCAUAAGAAUGAUAUAUUGGAGUUUGGAGACUCAAAGGAAAGAGUGGGGGAGAGGGAGGGAUAAAAGACUACACAUUGGGUACAGUAUACAAUGCUUGAGUGAUGGGUGCAACAAAAUCUCAGAAAUCCCCACUAAUGAGCAUAUUCAUGUAACAAAAUACCAUCUGUUCCCCAAAACUUAUUGAAAUAAAAAAUAAAAAAUUAAUGAUAAUAACAAUAAAAAGAAGUUUAUUUGUCUUAUGUUUCUGGAGGCCAGGAAGUCCAAGAUCAAGGGGUUGCAUCUAGUGGGGGUCUUCUUGCUGAGUCAUAACCUGGCAGAAGACAUCACAUGAAGAGAGAAUGGAUGAGAGCCAGCAAGCAAGAGAGGGCCAAACUUGCUUUUAUAACAAACCCAUUCCUGACAUCAUGAACUUACCCCUGCCAUAAUGACAUUAAUCCAUUCCAGGGGGCAAAGCUCUCAUGACCUAAUCACCUCUCAAAAGUGCCACCUCUCGAUGCUGUUGCAUUGGGGAUUAAGUUUCCAACACAUGAACUCUGGGGAGAUGCAUUCAAACCUUAGCAGUUUAA
rnacentral:lncRNA from 10 species